UACGGAAGGCAGCAGUGGGGAAUAUUGCACAAUGGGCGAAAGCCUGAUGCAGCUAUGCCGCGUGUAUGAAGAAGGCCUUAGGGUUGUAAAGUACUUUCAUCGGGGAGGAAAAAACAAAACUAAUAAUUUUAUUUCUUGACGUUACCCGAAAAAGAAGCACCGGCUAACUCCGUGCCAGCAGCCGCGGUAAUACGGAGGGUGCUAGCGUUAAUCAGAAUUACUGGGCGUAAAGAGCACGUAGGUGGUUUUUUUAAGUCAGAUGUGAAAUCCCUGGGCUUAACCUAGGAACUGCAUUUUGAAACUGAAAUACUAGAGUAUCGUAGAGGGAGGUAGAAUUCUAGGUGUAGCGGUGAAAUGCGUAGAUAUCUGGAGGAAUAUCUGUGGCGAAAGCGGCCUCCUAAACGAAUACUGACACUGAGGUGCGAAAGCGUGGGGAGCAAACAGGGAUUAGAUACC
rnacentral:rRNA from 1 species